ACCUACGGGGGGCAGCAGUGAGGAAUAUUGGUCAAUGGCCGCAGGGCUGAACCAGCCAAGUCGCGUGAGGGAUGACGGUCCUAUGGAUUGUAAACCUCUUUUGUCGGGGAGCAAAAGACGCCACGCGUGGCGUUCCGAGAGUACCCGAAGAAAAAGCAUCGGCUAACUCCGUGCCAGCAGCCGCGGUAAUACGGAGGAUGCGAGCGUUAUCCGGAUUUAUUGGGUUUAAAGGGUGCGCAGGCGGAAGAUCAAGUCAGCGGUAAAAUUGAGAGGCCCAACCUCUUCGCGCCGUUG
rnacentral:rRNA from 1 species